UCCUGAUAAGUCCGCUGACAACCAAAUAAACAGAGCGAGGGCCGGGGAGGCGGGGACGGCAGCGCCCGCGGCCCGGGAGGCUCCCGGGGCUGGGCAGUCGGCUCCGAGAUUCGGGGCUGCCGGGGGCCACCGAGGAAGGAGAAGCAACUAGGGUCCGCAUUGGCGCCCACUCGCCCGCAGCCUCGGACCCAGGAGCGCAGGUUCGGUGGCGGUUGGCCCGAGAGCGCCUGACCGCCGCCGCGCUUAGCUGCGCCACGGUUGCGGGGACUGGUCUCCGGGACGUGGUGCCCAACCGGCCCUCGGAGCCCUGCCCCCGGCGUCCCCCUGCGCCCCCUUUCCCAGAGCCGGAGCCACCGCCGGGCAAAGCGCUGGCUCCCGCUUCAUUCCAGGGGCCGACGCUGGGAAAACGCGGCGGCGCCCCUGGCCGAAGGAGAAAACAAGACUCACGCUUGGUGAGCUGCCCUCUCCGUUCCUGGGCGAUGACAACUCCGGGGUGAAGUCAGUGCUUAGAGCUGCGUGCACGAAAGUCUGCAGCUCUGAUUCAGCGGGAUCCAGCAGUGGGAAGCAUGCAUAAAGCAGUGACCCCAGUUGUGCCAGGUGCCUGGCAAAGCCUGGCCAGCCCCCAAGGAGCUUCUGGUGGAGUCCCUAGUGAAGUGGCUACUCCUCAGUGUGUUGAAUGAGUUGUGCCGGGACUAAAAGAACCGGCUCCAGCCACAUCAAGACCACUCAUGCUCAGAGACAGUGACAUCUUCAAGAGGAUGUCCAGAAGGGGUGUGGAGGUGAGCA